rnacentral:rRNA from 1 species
CCUACGGGAGGCAGCAGUAAGGAAUAUUGGUCAAUGGGAGAAAUCCUGAACCAGCAACGCCGCGUGAAGGACGAAGGGCUUUUAGCUUGUAAACAUCUUUUUUGAGGGAAAAAUAUACGAUUACUUCGUGUUGAUUGUACCUUGAGAAUAAGCCCCGGCUAACUACGUGCCAGCAGCCGCGGUAAUACGUAGGGGGCAAGCGUUGUCCGGAUUUACUGGGUGUAAAGGGU